UAGAUACUCCCUUCGUCCGGAAAUACUUGUCGGAGAAAUGGAUGAAUAUAGACGUAUUUUAGUUAUAGAUACAUUCAAUUUUAUUUAUUUCUCCGACAAAUAUUUCGGGAUAGAGGGAGUACCAC
rfam:Triticum aestivum genome assembly, contig: Triticum_aestivum_CS42_TGACv1_scaffold_591920_7BS